UACGGGGGGAGCAAGCGUUGUUCGGAUUUACUGGGCGUAAAGGGCGCGUAGGCGGCCACCGCAAGUCGACUGUGAAAUCUCCGGGCUUAACCCGGAACGGUCAGCCGAUACUGCGGGGCUAGAGUGCAGAAGGGGCAACCGGAAUUCUCGGUGUAGCGGUGAAAUGCGUAGAUAUCGAGAGGAACACCUGCGGCGAAGGCGGGUUGCUGGGCUGACACUGACGCUGAUGCGCGAAAGCUAGGGGGGCGAACGGG
rnacentral:rRNA from 1 species